rnacentral:rRNA from 1 species
GAAUAUUGCGCAAUGGAGGAAACUCUGACGCAGCGACGCCGCGUGAGCGAUGAAGGUCUUCGGAUCGUAAAGCUCUGUCCUUGGGGAAGAAGAUCGAAAGAUGUGACGGUACCCGAGUAGGACGCCCCGGCUAACUACGUGCCAGCAGCAGCGGUAAUACGGCGGGGGCAAGCGUUGUCCGGAAUUAUUGGGCGCAAAGGGUGCGUAGGCGGCUUUUUAAUUCAGAUGUGAAAGACCACGGCGUAACCGUGGAGUUGCAUUUGAAACUGGAAGGAUUGAGUAUCGGAGAGGGUAGUGGAAUUCCCAGUGUAGCGGUGAAAUGCGUAGAUAUUGGGAGGAACACCAGUGGCGAAGGCGACUGCCUGGACGAAAACUGACGCUGAUGCACGAAAGCUAGGGGAGCAAAC